GUGUCUUAGACCCUCUGAGACCCACGUCCUCACUCGGGUCCCCGCUGCCUUGCCUCCUGCCUCACACCCGCCUGGGCCGAGGCAGAGCCCAGCCCGCCACACUGGGCUGCCUCCCAGAGCCAGCGUGGUGGCCCCGGCCCUGUCACGGGGACGUGGAAAGAAAGUAGAGGAAAUCUUGUUUGGGUUUAUUUCCAUCUCAUCCUUCACACGUUUUCCACGUGCCCGUGGGGCAGGACCGUGUUGGGUGGCAGGGGACAGAAUUUUUACGUGGACGAGUAGAUCUGUGUCUCCGGUGCGGAGGGGACACAGGUGGUGUCUGGGGAGGGCAGUCCAGAGGGUGGGACGGAACCGCUCGGCCAGCCCCUACUCCUUGUCCUUCCAGCUUCAUCCCCGCUGCUCCUCUGCUACCCUUCCUCGAGCACCUGCAAGUCCCCAUGUCCCCAGCUCCUCUCUGAAGCUUCCCCAGACACUUCCAACUCCCCACGUGCCCUGUGGGUGCCUGUAAUCGCCCGUGUCACUCGGCUGUGGCCACUGUUUAACCUUCCAGCGCCUCCGUCCGGGCUAUCCGCCUCCGGAGGGCCAGGCCCGGGUCUCGGUCUGUCUACGUCCAGAGUAGACUGAGGUCAGCUGACCCUGCCCUGGGGGGACACCCCGGGCCCAGGGAGGUUCGCCGGGCUCCACAAGGUCAGGUCUGCUGAUCCCAGUAAUCAGCUUGAGGCUUCUAAUCCCUCACCGGCAGGAACCUCGGGACGCAGGGCAGAGGCUCGGGAGGGCCGGCAGGGGCCAUCUUGGCCUUCUCCCGCAGGCUCCGUCCGGGAGGGGAUGGGGCGGUCGAGCCAUGUGUACCACCCUCCUCCUGCUCAGCACCUUGGCGGCGCUCUGGCGCCGGCGAUUCGCCAACCGGGUCCAACCAGAGCCCAGCGAAGUUGGAGUCGGUGGGGCGGUGGAGGGCAGCAGCGUGGACACAGACCCCCAGUCCUCCGGCAGGAGGACAGCGCCGCUGGAGGAAGCCCUUACCUCUGCGGGCAGAGCUCAGCCUGGGGAACUGGGGUCGGCCGGCUGAGGCAGGUGGCGAGGGUCAGCGUUGAUUGAGAGCGCCACGUGGGAUCUCGACAGCGUUUUCUAGGCUCGGGGACAAGGCAGUGCUGGGGCACUUACUUCUAAGGAGAGGGCACUCUGGCAUGUCCACUCGGCAGUGCAAGCCCCCCUCCCCAGUGUGGGACAAAGUGCUGUCCAGUUUGGUGUUCCAUGUCAGCUCAGCUCCUGGUUUGCCCCGGACCAGGCCUGGUGUGGGGUGGGGGUGGGGGUGCAGAGAGGCUCGCUGCUCCGGGACGGGCUCCCUUCCUGGGGUCCCCUCUGUGAGCUCUGCAGCCGGCAGCCCAGGCCGGGGCAGGACCAGGGGCAGACUCUGUGUACCACGGACGGGCGUCCUGCUGGCAGUCUCCCUGAGUCCUCACGGCGCCACAGACACCGCUCUCGCUGUCGGCCGCGGUUUGGACACGAGGGAACACGGAGAGGCCAACCCAUUAGCCCGGUGCCGGCUAGCGCGUGCGCUGGUGCUGAGGCCAGAGAGAAGUGCCGGCCGUCUUCCAGAAGAGAGCGGCCUGGACAAACGAAAGGGGUGAGCCCCUGGGGGCCCCACGGAGUGGCCCGAUCAAAAGGGACUUCAGCCGACUGUCUGCAGGUGCCGGGGCCUGCUCACUCCGCCGGCACGUGGAGCGCCUGGGUGCCCGCGCCUGUGGGUGCAAAGUGAAUUAAGACUUCCUUCCGCGCGCAAGAGACAGACACCUGCCAACAGGCAGCACGCAGGGCGGCGGCCUGUGACGGCCUCGGCGUCUGCCCCAGACGGCUCCUGCCUGUGGCUCGGGGGCUGGCGCGGGGGGGGGGGCACCCAAGGGCCCACAGGGCUCUCCGAGGUGAGGAGAGGGUGCUCCUAAGGACGCACGCAGAUCAAUGGGGCCCGAAAACAGACGCCACGAAGGCAACUCGGUGGACAAAGGCAAGUCCUCUCAUCAGGCUACGAAAAGCAACAAAAAUAAAAGAAGAAUGAUUCAUUGGACUUGAUCAACCUUCUUGGAAAGACUGGGAGAAAACACUUGUCAAGAGAAUAUCUGAGGAAAGACGUGCAUCCAGAAUAUCUAAAUAACUUUUACAACUUAGUAUCUGAAAAAGAGCCCGUAAAAAGGGGGAGGGUCUUAAUCACAAAAAAGUGUACACGUGGCCAAUAAACACACAGCAAGACGCUUGCCGUGCUCAGUCACCAGGGAGCUGCGGAUCAGGAAUCUCAAGGCCCUGCCGCAGGCCCCCCCAAGAAUGGAGGCGCCCCCCCCACCCCCCGGGGGAGGACUGACGGGACAGGUGGGACGAGGGGGCGGGGCAGCGCUCCGCGUCACGUGUGCUCGGGAAACCAACGGGCUUGGCAGCUCCCCGUGACUUGACCCAGGAGAUCUGACAAUUCGUGUUCCCCGAAACUUCUGCACAAAAAUGUCCACAGCAGCUUCAUUAGUACCAGCUCUAACGUGGAAACAACCCCAAUACGCAGCCACGUGUGAACGGAUCAACAAAUGGUGGUAUGUUCGCAUAAUGGAAUAAUCGUCAGAAACAAAAAGGAAAUGGGCUACUGAUGUAAGCCGUCAUGCGGAAUAUUGAGAAAAGCCAGACAUGAAAGGAUACCCACUGUGUGAAUCCGUGUAUGUGAAAUUCUAGCACAGGCUGAACUAAUCCACAGUGACAGAAAGCAGAUCGGCGGGUGCCUGGGGCGGGGGUUGGAGGAGGGGCCUGUCUGUAACACGGCAGGAAGGUGCUCUCUGGAGUGACGACAGGUCCUAAAUUGUAACUUGGGUUGUGGGUACAUGGGUGAAUACAUUUAUUGGACCACUG